rnacentral:rRNA from 1 species
UGAGGAACAUGACCUUCGGCGGGGGAUAGCCGGCCCAACGGCCGGGUAAUACCGCGUACGACCACAUGGGGAUAUCCCUGAGUGGUGAAAGCAGCAAUGCGCCGAUGGAGUGCCUCGCGGCCUAUCAGCUAGUUGGUGAGGUAACGGCUCACCAAGGCGACGACGGGUAGCUGGUCUGAGAGGAUGGCCAGCCACAUUGGGACUGAGACACGGCCCAGACCUCGUAACCGGGGAGG